CAAAUACUCCUUCCGUCCGAAAUUACUUGUCACGAAAAUGGAUAAAAAUAGAUGUAUUUAUAACUAAAAUACGUCUAGAUACAUCCAUUUCUCGGACAAGUAUUUAGGAACAGAGGGAGCAACAU
rfam:Triticum aestivum genome assembly, contig: Triticum_aestivum_CS42_TGACv1_scaffold_514356_6BS